AUGGCAGCCCACAUCUCUGUGGGACGCAUUGGAGAAGUCUACCAUAGGGAGCUUAAGGAUACUAUUUAUCAGAUUUGUGGACGCCGAGAUGAGCAAUGGGAGAUGAUCAGCACCAAGAAGGAUGGAUCAAUUGCAGCUUUCAUCCAGGAGCAAAACCAACACAUUCGUCGCCAGGAGAACCAGAUGUGCGCAGAUAUGAUAGAUCUGAAGAAGGCAUUGACCAAGAUCACGGAGUUGGAGGAAGAACUCAAGUCUACGCGCGAUGGAUAUGAGGAGGAGAUCGCCACGUUGUUGGAGAAGAAUGACGACCUGAUAAAGAAGAUCGGAGUAUUCAUGGGAGACCCAGCACCCGGAGGAGGAGAUGACGAUUCUACUUGCCCGGAUAACUACAUCAUCAUCGACGACACCGAAUCGGACCCCAGUGAAGAUGACUUUGUUGAUGAAGCUGGAGCAGAUAUCAUGGAGUCUUCGACUGAUCAAAAUUUCUAG
rnacentral:rRNA from 1 species